rnacentral:rRNA from 1 species
AAAGCGAGCGGCGGAUGGGUGAGUAACACGUGGGGAACCUGCCCCUAAGUCUGGGAUACCAUUUGGAAACAGGUGCUAAUACCGGAUAAUAAAGCAGAUCGCAUGAUCAGCUUUUGAAAGGCGGCGUAAGCUGUCGCUAAGGGAUGGCCCCGCGGUGCAUUAGCUAGUUGGUAAGGUAACGGCUUACCAAGGCGACGAUGCAUAGCCGAGUUGAGAGACUGAUCGGCCACAUUGGGACUGAGACACGGCCCAAACUCCUACGGGAGGCAGCAGUAGGGAAUCUUCCACAAUGGACGCAAGUCUGAUGGAGCAACGCCGCGUGAGUGAAGAAGGUUUUCGGAUCGUAAAGCUCUGUUGUUGGUGAAGAAGGAUAGAGGUAGUAACUGGCCUUUAUUUGACGGUAAUCAACCAGAAAGUCACGGCUAACUACGUGCCAGCAGCCGCGGUAAUACGUAGGUGGCAAGCGUUGUCCGGAUUUAUUGGGCGUAAAGCGAGCGCAGGCGGAAAAAUAAGUCUAAUGUGAAAGCCCUCGGCUUAACCGAGGAACUGCAUCGGAAACUGUUUUUCUUGAGUGCAGAAGAGGAGAGUGGAACUCCAUGUGUAGCGGUGGAAUGCGUAGAUAUAUGGAAGAACACCAGUGGCGAAGGCGGCUCUCUGGUCUGCAACUGACGCUGAGGCUCGAAAGCAUGGGUAGCGAACAGGAUUAGAUACCCUGGUAGUCCAUGCCGUAAACGAUGAGUGCUAAGUGUUGGGAGGUUUCCGCCUCUCAGUGCUGCAGCUAACGCAUUAAGCACUCCGCCUGGGGAGUACGAACCGCAAGGUUGAAACUCAAAGGAAUUGACGGGGGCCCGCACAAGCGGUGGAGCAUGUGGUUUUAAUUCGAAGCACCCCGAAAAACCUUACCAGGUCUUGACAUCUAGUGCAAUCUGUAGAAAUACGGA